rnacentral:pre_miRNA from 1 species
AGUGGAACUGCUGGCUCCUAUGGUGAUUCUAUAUUUUGUUUUAAGAACUGUCAGACUGUUUUCUGCAGUGGCUGCACCAUUUUACAUUCCCAUCAACAGU